UGCGUGAAACCGUUUAGAGGUAAACGGGUGGGCCCUCGAAGGUGAUCGUCGGAGGGAUUCAGUCGGACGUGACCGUAAGCGUCGUUCGUCUCUAACGGUGCGGACCUCGGUCGGCCGGGCGGGCGAAGGCUGCGGGCCGUUUGGCGCAUUUCCUUCCGUUCGAACUACGCUGCGACCAGUCUGGUCACUGAAAGUUGUCGUCCUUGAAAACGGGCGCUGGAAGGUGGCCGGCGGCGUCUCUCGGGAUGCCGUCGGUGUUUAUAGCCGGCUCGUUUCACGAGUGAGCGUUCAUCAGACUGGGGACGAUUCUAGCCCUGUGCGGGCUACGCCGAGCACUCCGUUUACGGAGCGUUGCGGGGUGACUGGAUGUGCCUGCGGUCGGGAGUUUCACCUUUGUGUGGGCUACCGCCGUAGGUCUCCGUAAGCUCAUUCCGUACUCGCCGUUGCUCAGGUGGUCAGCAGCGAGUAGGUCGGUAACCCACCCGACCCGUCUUGAAACACGGACCAAGGAGUCUAACAUGUGCGCGAGUCAUUGGGUCUUGAAUAGGCCCAAAGGCGUAAUGAAAGUGAAGGGCGGUUCGGCCGUCUGCCUUGGGAUCCCGUGAACCUCGCGUUCGCGGGCGCACCAAGGGCCCGUCCCGGUCGCCUCGUCGACGGGGCGGAGCAAGAGCGUACACGUUGGGACCCGAAAGAUGGUGAACUAUGCCUGGGCAGGACGAWGCCAGAGGAAACUCUGGUGGAGGUCCGCAGCGAUUCUGACGUGCAAAUCGAUCGUCAGACCUGGGUAUAGGGGCGAAAGACUAAUCGAACCAUC
rnacentral:rRNA from 1 species